rnacentral:rRNA from 1 species
UUGAACGCUGGCGGCAUGCCUUACACAUGCCAGUCGAACGGUAACAGGUUAAGCUGACGAGUGGCGAACGGGUGAGUAAUACAUCGGAACGUGCCCAGUAGUGGGGGAUAGCCCGGCGAAAGCCGGAUUAAUACCGCAUACGACCUAAGGGUGAAAGGGGGGGAUCGCAAGACCUCUCGCUAUUGGAGCGGCCGAUGUCAGAUUAGCUAGUUGGUGGGGUAAAAGCUCACCAAGGCGACGAUCUGUAGCUGGUCUGAGAGGACGACCAGCCACACUGGGACUGAGACACGGCCCAGACUCCUACGGGAGGCAGCAGUGGGGAAUUUUGGACAAUGGGCGCAAGCCUGAUCCAGCCAUGCCGCGUGCGGGAAGAAGGCCUUCGGGUUGUAAACCGCUUUUGUCAGGGAAGAAAUCCUUUGGGUUAAUACCUCGGGGGGAUGACGGUACCUGAAGAAUAAGCACCGGCUAACUACGUG